UACCUAUAAAUACAACUUUUUCUUGUAAUUUUCAGCCUAAGUCAAUUUUCCCUACCCUAAUCAUUCACCCUCUUCCUUUCCUCUUUUCUCUUCAAUUUUCUUUCUUUCUUACCUUGUGUGCUGUUGCUCAAGCUACCAAGAUUCACCAUCAAUUUAUCUUAUUUUUGCAAUGGGUUUUUGCACCAAAAUCUGAAAAUUUUAGUACUCAAGAUCAGCCUCCAUUGAUGCCCCAAAAGAACUCCAUUGCUGCUCGUUUCACCUAGCUUGUGUGGCGACUUUAAUACCCCAAAUCAGCAGUAAAGCCGAAAGACGUUUGCGCGUACAAUUUGCCUCAAAUUAGUGUAAGAAAUCUAACUAGUUUGGAUUCUGAAAAUUGAUGUAUUUGUAAUAGUUGGAUUAAACCCAUAAGUGGCUGUUUGGGGGCUGUUUAAGAAGCAUACUGAUUGAGUUUAAUACUGAUUUUUAAUUUAGGUUAAUUUUAAAGCUUAUUAGAGAUUUACAAGUGUGUUGCGAAAGUAUACCAAAAAAAAAAAAGUGUGUUGCGAAAGACUGUAAAAUAAGGUGUGUGUCUUAAACUCGAUAACUUGAUUGUUAAUGAUAAUUAUUAUGAUUUAAUUGGUGCUUUAGCUUUCUGAUUAGGCUUGGCUUAAUAGCUAAGUAAUUUAAUUUGUGAGUGGCCGAAUUAGGUAUGUUUCGAGCCUUAACUAUUUGGCAUGGUAGCAAAGUUGCUAGGUUGAUUGAAUGAUUGACAUUAUCGUGAAUGUUUGGUUAAUUUGAUGUAUGAUUGAUUUUAUGUAUAGCAUGUUUUUUUAAUGAAAAUAAGGCUUAUGCAUGAUAUAUUAGUACAAAGUGAAUUACUAUGAAACGUUCGUAAAACUACUAUACAUGUACACAAAAAAGUUGUGAAUGUACAUGAAAUUGUGAUUGGUGAAUGAUACCAUCUUAAUGGUAAUAUGAAAGUUGGAUUAUUGAUUCCAUACCUUGAAAGUAUUUGAUAAUUGAGGGUGUGCUGAACAUGCCAAUUAAAUGUGAAAAUAUUGAAUUAUGGCUAUGUAUGAGAUUGUGUGACAUAUUGUAUGUGCAUCGGGGUGGGUAAUUAUUGUGGUUGACGGAGGAGUUUUGUGGAGUACUGAUGACAUAUUAAGUCCAUAUUUAUUUGUAGUCAGUGCACUUCACUUGGAGUACUGAGGGGAUUGACAAUUUUAUUGCAUUAUAUGUUAUUUGGCAGAUUUUCUGCAUUUAUGAUAUAUGGUGCUUUUUACCACAUCGAGCCUUGCUCGCAUUCGUUGGAGUUUGGUAGACAGGUUUUGGGGAACUUGUGGUGUGUAACGGAUGGUUUAAGUAGGAAUCUAUUCUCGUCAGUGCAAAACUCAACUAGUCAUUGACUUCAUUGUAUCCUCGAAGUUAAUUUGGUUGGAACUCAUUUGCUCACCGAAGAUAGGUGGGGGCGAAUAUAACCUUAAAGAUAGUGGCUUGAUACACGCCUUGGAGCCUUGUCCUAUUUCUUCUUUUGUUCGAAUUCCUUUCAUGUGUUCAAGAUUUUCCUUACCGGAGAUUUAUACUAAUAGAAUGUUAUUGAUUUAUGCUACGUACUAUUUUUUGUUGUAUUGAAUGAUAUCAAGAUUAAUGAUUGACACUCAAAUGAAUGAUGGUUCAUGCUCAUAAAUCGUUUGACAUCGAUUUGAUAAUGGCUAUAUAAUGAUAUGAAAUUCCAAUGA